rnacentral:lncRNA from 10 species
GGAGAAGCUGGCAGCUUUCCCCACAGAGUUGGACACACACAGGCUCAGGACUCAGAAGUGAAGAAAGAUUCCGUGGGGUUGGAAGAGCUGCAGGCCUGGAUGAAGUCCCCAGAAACAAGUGACCGUGGAAACAUCCUGCUGAGAUGGAGAAACUGUGACUCGCUCUGUCUGCAUCCCUGAGCUUUCACCUGGAAAAGGCACUGACCUUGUGUGUCGAAGUCUGCAGACUUUCAUUUUGGAGAUAUAUUUCACUCUGAAUAGUGAAUCAGAGUGGGGUGAAACAUCUGGCUUAUAAAAUGUUUCAAACCUCAAACCACUUUAGAUACUUGGAAAUCAUCUUCUCCACACAUUUAUUAUAAAAC